rnacentral:rRNA from 1 species
ACAGUGGACGCGAGCAUCUGUGGCCAAGUUUUUAAGGGCGCACGGUGGAUGCCUUGGCACCAGGAACCGAUGAAGGACGUGGGAGGCCGCGAUAGGCCCCGGGGAGCUGUCAACCGAGCUUUGAUCCGGGGGUGUCCGAAUGGGGAAACCCGGCAGUCGUCAUGGGCUGUCACCCAUACCUGAACACAUAGGGUAUGUGGAGGGAACGCGGGGAAGUGAAACAUCUCAGUACCCGCAGGAAGAGAAAACAACCGUGAUUCCGGGAGUAGUGGCGAGCGAAACUGGAUGAGGCUAAACCGUAUGUGUGUGAUACCCGGCAGGGGUUGCGCGUACGGGGUUGUGGGAGUG